AGUGAACGCUGGCGGCGUGCCUAAUACAUGCAAGUCGAACGGAGUGGCGCACGGGUGAGUAAUAUAUAGCUAAUCUGCUCCUUGCUGGAGGACAAUAGUUAGAAAUGUCUGCUAAUACUCCAUAGCAAGGGAUGAGCCCAUAUCGUAUCAGCUAGUCGGUGGGGUAACGGCCUACCGAGGCUAUGACGCGUAACUGGUCUGAGAGGAUGAGCAGUCGAAUUGGACGGGAGGCACGGUCCAAGCUUCUACGGGAGGGAGCAGUAGGGAAUAUUGCGCAAGGGGGGAAACCCAGACGGAGCAACGCCGCGUGGAGGAUGUUACUUGUCGGAGCGGAAACUCCUGUUGUUAGGGAAGCGGUACCUAACGAAUAAGCACCGGCUAACUCCGUGCCAGCAGCCGCGGUAAUAC
rnacentral:rRNA from 1 species